UCACCUUCUUUUGAAAAUUAGUAUAUGUCCUUCUAUAAAUUUGGGAUACCCCAGAUUAAUAAUAAAAAAGGGAACAUUGAAAAUGUCUCUUACAGUUUACGAAGGCUUACUUACUUUGUAGGAUGUACGUAGACACCUUCAUGGGGUGCUUCUGAAUAUAAAACCCAACAAAUAACCUUUUCACAAAACUUAAUAAAAAAUAAAGGAAAUGUAUCUAUCUUCAUAGAUCGACAUCAAUCAUCAAAGAUAUUUCCUCUCUUUAUUUAUUUAAUCAAAAUCACGAAGAGAAGUUGUGCUGGUACAUUUCCAUUCAAUAGCGUGCACAGUUUGUCUUUGUUUUUA
rnacentral:lncRNA from 1 species